GGUUUGUCUUGUCAUUCUUUGUUGGACUUUGUUGAUGCUGGUCUUUGCUGAUGAUGCUAUGUUGUAUUGGUUUGCCUUAUUAUUUUUGUUGAUUAUCGCUUGUUGUGACUUUAAAAAUAUAUAAGCCUAUAUGAAAUAUCAUCAAAAUCUCUCCUAGAGGGGAUUUCAGAAUGACUAUACUUUAAAAAAUAAGUUUAUUUAUUUCAUUUUGGAUGUGUGUGCCUGUAGAGCUCAAAGAAUUGUUGGAGUUAGCUCUCUGCUCCCACCAUGUUGGAGGGUUGCAGCACAGAUUGCUCCUCAA
rnacentral:lncRNA from 1 species